GCGCGGGGAGAGGACGCGGCCCGCCUGGCAUCAUCCUGCCGGGGGUUCGGUGGUAGCGCGCCACGCGCUGGGACCCACGGGGGUACAAUGUGCUUUACAGUCGCCCACCACGAGCAAGAGCCUUCUCUUAAGAAAGCAAGCCUGGGCGCGGGACUGCCAUCUCCACGCCCCCCCCCCCCACUGACUUGGUCGGGUCUGACAGAGACGGAGCGGGGUCGCAAACCGGGGUGCGCCAGGGCCGCCUCUGCCCCCGCUGGUGUGGGGUGGAACUACACCGGAGGGCCGCGGACGCCCGCCGGAGCCGCCCGGUGCCAGAGCCCGGGCAAGCGUGCGCGCAGCGAGCGCGAAGCCCGCCAAUACAUCGCGUCAACCGCACGUUUACUACGAUUACUUACAAGCCCGUGUGCGAAUUGUUAAAUCGCUGAGUUACUUUCAGAGAGAUUAAAAUACGCUAGUUGGUCUAUUUUUUUCCGUAUACCACGAGGAAAACUCAACCGGGGUAUCGCGGUGGAGCUUUGACACAACGUGACAAAUGAAACGGAGAUGCGGUGCGCUGUACACGGUUAGCUGCGAUGCAAGGAAGAACGUGGACUACAGGACAACCACGUAGCACGGCUCUUAGCAUUUCGGACGAAUGUGAUCCAGUGAACCACCCUGUGCAGAUGAGCUGGUCAGUUACGUGCGCAGCUGACCCCAUUCUCUGCUUGAGGCAGUAGCACCGAUUUGCACUUUUGGGGUAGCAGUAUACCACACUAAGGCUUGUUCCCAUUGCACCUCUCCGGUAUAAAAACGGAAACUGAGGCUUAGGAAGUUGGAGCAAACUCCUUCAAUCACACAACUGACAAGCUGAAGGAUUUGGGGAAAGAGCACAGGCUCUUUCCAUACACAGGAUCAUGCUGUUGUCCAAGCGAGAAGUACAUUGCUGGGUUUCUAUCGUUUUUAACUGACCAAAGAUUGUCUGCAAGUCAUACAAACACGGAGGCCGAGGGAACUUCAAGAGAGCAAGAGAAGAGUGAGGGUCGGCUUGGAGACUUUGUUAUCACAUGGUAUAUCUCCAUGAAUGUCCUUAGAAGCCUAUGGGGUGUCCAAAAGUGGCAUCUAGGGGGCUCCUGGUCCUGGUAGAAUCUUGGGAUCAGUAGCAGGACAGACGGCCCUCAUUUGCCACAGGAGGCUUAGAGCCCAGGAGGGACUGGCUACCCUGGGUUUCUGGGAAGGGAGUCUGCGGGACUCACUGCCCAGGAGCCACAUCAGAGGAAAGAUGGCUCCUGGACGUCCAAUCCAUAUGGAUGGGGCUCUGGAUGGAAGCUGGAGAGGCCUCUCAUGACAUGACUUGGCUUAAAGUUGUACUUACAUAGCAAGUGCACUAUUUUUAUUUAGAUUCUGCUUUUAUUUGGAGUGGCUUUGAAAGGGGCUAGGUGGACAUUAGUGUGCACAGGGGUAGGAGGUGUCCCUGAAAUCUCCCAAGCUACCUCCUUGUGUCCCUGUUGUAUAAGAAAAACCUUCAACUGAAGAGAAGCACCACCACUGCCACGUUGAAAAGGGUUCUGGGAUGCUGUCUGUUCCCAAGCUAAAUUGGGUUCGUACGGAAAGGGGAGCACAAAGUCCCACACAGGUGCUGGGGUCCCUCCACGCCCAUCCAGGGGCAAAGGAAGCCGGGCACACUGGGCCCCCUCAAAUGGCUCCCUGGGCUGUGGUCCCUCUAGGGCCGAUCUGCUUCAGGGUGGCCUCCAGAGCUGGACCUGAGCUGAACCUCCAUCCAUCCAGGCAGACCUGGGGACAUACUUCUGUGAAAGUGGUCUUGGGCUACCUUCUGGUCAGAGCUGGUGGUCACUGAAGCCUGAGCAGUGAGUCUUAGACAUCUCAGGGAGACGAGUGGUCCCAGCUACAAGGACCUCGCAGACUCUGCUGGAGCAACCGUGGCCGACCCCAGGAGAAGGAAGUGACAUUGGGUCUGAAGUUACUGAAGGGACCAAGAGCAAAAGGACUGUGGGUCACUGGGAACUGAGGGGCCACAGUGCCUGAAGAGAGUCCCAGUCAUCCGCUUUCCCCGGGGGGUGGGGGGGGGGUGAAGUAAAGCAAAAGGUGGUGCUGAAGGACAGGGAGGUGCUGCUAACAGGUGCUGGAAGCACACUGAGGAGCACGACCAGCCUCCAGCGCGGACACCCAAGGAGACUGUGCUUUCAUCACCACCACCCUGCGGCCAAGGUUCUGCCAGGGGCUUCUGCCGGGGACUUGCGACAAGGGCCACUGUCACUCAGGAAUCCCUUCUUCCCAGGUCACUCUAGCGUACAUCCAGGCCCUGGGGCCACAGCGACACUAUUUUAUAAAUAAGGUGAAAGAGUUACUGCCUGAAGACAGAGCUCGUGGAUGGAGGGGAAAUACUAUUUCUUACCACCACCCCACUGGAACUAAGUGGAGCUAAUUCAAAUCCGAAAAUGAACUCUCGCCGAAUACUGUCAUGUGUCAGUACUGAAGGUAAAGUCUUCAGUUCUACCUUAAUCAAAUCCAUGAACAUAAUCCAGUCUUACCAAGACACUUAAAGGGACACUUCUGUGGUUAGAUGGAAAGAAUUUUUCGAAGCCUUUCAACCAUGUACCUUGCCGACCCGCGGAAGAAAACCUUCUGAAUCUUACGGCACCAGAGCACACUCUAGUGGUGGUGAGCUAAGCAGCCACUUCCAAACCGCUCAAUUCAUCCUUGCACAGGGAGCCCUAGAUAAAUAUUCCUUGUUUGGGCAAAAGGUUAGGUAGGCUUGCGUGAAGGCAGCAAAGGAAAUGAAUAGAACAUUAUACGAGGACUCCAAGCCGUAUAAUUCUCCACUAAGAAUAAGGCAAGUUCUGUGUCAUUGAAUGUUCAAUGCCAAGGGCAAACAAACAAGAAUUAUUAAAAAUCUUAAAACAAUCUAAAAUAACAUCCUACUCAGUGAGGUUUUAGGAAAGCUUUUGAUUUAUCGUUUGUUCUUAAAUCCAUGCCACAUGCAGACUUUCUCCUUGGAGAUUCUAUUUAAAGAAGGGAGAGGAAGCAGAUAAUAGAUAUAAUACCUAAAACAAACUCCCUUCAGCCAUGACAGUGUUAUUACAAACUUGAGGGAGUGCCAUUAUUGCAUAUAAAUAGAAACAAUGGACCAGAACCAAUUUUGCAUAAGAAAAUAUCGUUCAAUUUUGUUGCGAGCCUUGGUCUAGACUUUCCUCUGGUUUAACAAGUGAUGGUUAAUAUAAAUAAGAAUGUCUGUCUUUGCUUAAAGAUAGCACUCUUGUGAAAGCACACGUAUCUAUUUAAUCAAGUAAAAAUGUUGCCAUCUUUUGUGUAUGUGUCUACAAACCGAAGGAAAUAUAUUCGUUUGGUUUGAAGUGUAAAUUAUACUCUUAAAAUCUAACUAACACAAACUGGAAGGGAAAAAAAAAU